UCCAGCAGCCAUAUCUCCCUGCAAUUCACAUCUGACAUCCCACUGAACCUAAGCAGGUGUGAGCCCAGUCAGUACCUUGAUGGAGACCUCCUGGGAAACACUAAGGUUGCUGCUGGAA
rnacentral:rRNA from 1 species